AACGAACGCUGGCGGCAUGCCUAACACAUGCAAGUCGAACGAGACCUUCGGGUCUAGUGGCGCACGGGUGCGUAACGCGUGGGAACCUGCCCUUAGGUUCGGAAUAACUCCCCGAAAGGGGUGCUAAUACCGGAUAAUGUCUUCGGACCAAAGAUUUAUCGCCUUUGGAUGGGCCCGCGUUGGAUUAGCUAGUUGGUAGGGUAAAAGCCUACCAAGGCGACGAUCCAUAGCUGGUCUGAGAGGAUGAUCAGCCACACUGGGACUGAGACCCGGCCCAGACCCCUACGGGAGGCGGGAGUGGGGAAUAUUGGACAAGGGGAGAAAGCCUGAUCCAGCAAUGCCGGGUGGGUGAUGAAGGCCUUGGGGUUGUAAAGCUUUUUUACCCGGGAUGAUAAUGACAGUACCGGGAAAAUAAGCCCCGGCUAACCCCGU
rnacentral:rRNA from 1 species